rnacentral:rRNA from 1 species
GCCUACAACCGCUCAGAGCCCCUUAUGAGGGUGAUGAGGUGCUUUUUGUAGAACGAGCCAACGAGUUACGGUAUGUAGCAAGGUUAAGUACUUAAGGUACGGAGCCGAAGGGAAACCGAGUCUGAAUAGGGCGACUAGUUGCAUGCCGUAGACCCGAAACCGGGCGACCUAUCCAUGGCCAGGUUGAAGCGAGGGUAAAACCUCGUGGAGGACCGAACCACGUUGCUGUUGAAAAAGCAUGGGAUGAGCUGUGGAUAGCGGAGAAAUUCCAAUCGAACCCGGAGAUAGCUGGUUCUCUCCGAAAUAGCUUUAGGGCUAGCGUCGAGUAUGAGUAGUGGAGGUAGAGCACUGAAUGGGCUAGGGGGCAUAGCGCUUACCGAACCUUAUCAAACUCCGAAUGCCACAUACUUUGAGCUCGGCAGUCAGACUACGAAUGAUAAGAUCCGUGGUCAAAAGGGAAACAGCCCAGAUCGUCAGCUAAGGUCCCAAAGUGUAAGUUAAGUGGGAAAGGAUGUGAGAUUUCUAAGACAACUAGGAUGUUGGCUUAGAAGCAGCCAUUCAUUAAAAGAGUGCGUAAUAGCUCACUAGUCGAGAGAUCUUGCGCCGAAAAUGUAACGGGGCUAAACUUACCACCGAAGCUACGGGCUUGAACUUAGUUCAAGCGGUAGGAGAGCGUCGUAACCGGGCUGAAGUCGUACCGUAAGGAGCGGUGGACUGGUUACGAGUGAGAAUGUUGGCAUCAGUAGCGAGAUGUGGGUGAGAAUCCCACAGGCCGAAAACCUAAGGUUUCCUCAGGAAGGUUCGUCCGCUGAGGGUUAGUCGGGACCUAAGCCGAGGCCGAAAGGCGUAGGUGAUGGACAACUGGUUGAUAUUCCAGUACCACUACCAUCGUUAUUAUCGAUGGCGUGACGCAGGAGGAUAGUGUGUGCUAGCUAUUGGAUGCUAGUCUAAGCGUUUAGGCAGUGAGAGUAGGCAAAUCCGCUCUCAUAAUGCUGAGGCGUGAUGGGGAAGGUUCUACGGAACCGAAGUACAUGAUUCCACGCUGCCAAGAAAAGCGUCUAGAGAGAGAAGUAGUGCCCGUACCGCAAACCGACACAGGUAGGUGAGGAGAGAAUCCUAAGGCCGGCGGAAGAAUUACAGUUAAGGAACUCGGCAAAUUGACCCCGUAAGUUCGCGAGAAGGGGUGCCUACGAGAGUAGGCCGCAGAGAAUAGGCCCAAGCAACUGUUUAGCAAAAACACAGGUCUCUGCUAAAGCGUAAGCUGAUGUAUAGGGGCUGACGCCUGCCCGGUGCUGGAAGGUUAAGGGGAACACUUAGCGCAAGCGAAGGUGUGAACUUAAGCCCCAGUAAACGGCGG